rnacentral:rRNA from 1 species
AACGAACGCUGGCGGCGGGCUUAACACAUGCAAGUCGAACGCACCUUUCGGGGUGAGUUGCGGACGGCUGAGUAACGAGUGGGGAUCUACCCUUCUCUACGGUGCAGCUCCGGUAGGCUGAAAUUAAGACCGCAUACGUCCAGACGGAGAAGGAGUUAUCGGGGAAGGGUGGGGCCGCGUUGGAUUAGCUAGUUGGUGGGGUACUGGCAUACCAAGGCGACGAUGCAUAGCUGGUCUAAGAGCAGGAUCAGUCACAUUGGGGCUGAGACACGGACCAAACUCCGACGGAGGGGAGCAGUGGGGUAUAUUGGAGAAUGGGCGCAAGCCUGGUACAGCCAUGCCGGGUGAGUGAUGCAGGCCCUAGGGUUGUAAAGCUCCCUCAGAGGAGACGAUAAUGACGGUACCGACAGAAGAAGCCCCGGCUAACUUCGUG